rnacentral:tRNA from 1 species
GGCACCAUGGUGUAGUGGUUAUCACAUCUGCCUAACACGCAGAAGGUCCCCAGUUCGAGCAUGAAUGUUGUCU